CCUACGGGAGGCAGCAGUGGGGAAUAUUGGACAAUGGGCGCAAGCCUGAUCCAGCCAUGCCGCGUGAGUGAUGAAGGCCUUAGGGUUGUAAAGCUCUUUUGUCCGGGACGAUAAUGACGGUACCGGAAGAAUAAGCCCCGGCUAACUUCGUGCCAGCAGCCGCGGUAAUACGAAGGGGGCUAGCGUUGCUCGGAAUCACUGGGCGUAAAGGGCGCGUAGGCGGCCGAUUAAGUCGGGGGUGAAAGCCUGUGGCUCAACCACAGAAUUGCCUUCGAUACUGGUUGGCUUGAGACCGGAAGAGGACAGCGGAACUGCGAGUGUAGAGGUGAAAUUCGUAGAUAUUCGCAAGAACACCAGUGGCGAAGGCGGCUGUCUGGUCCGGUUCUGACGCUGAGGCGCGAAAGCGUGGGGAGCAAACAGGAUUAGAUACCCUUGUAGUC
rnacentral:rRNA from 1 species